CGAUGUCGGCUCGUCACAUCCUGGGGCUGGAGAAGGUCCCAAGGGUUGGGCUGUUCGCCCAUUAAAGUGGCACGCGAGCUGGGUUCAGAACGUCGCGAGACAGUUCGGUCCCUAUCUGUUGUGGGCGUUGGAAAUUUGAGAGGAUCUGACUCUAGUACGAGAGGACCGAGUUGGACAAACCUCUAGUGUACCUGUUGUAGUGCCAACUGCACCGCAGGGUAGCUAUGUUUGGAUGAGAUAAGCACUGAAAGCAUCUAAGUGCGAAACUCGCCUCAAGAUGAGAUUUCCUUUAAGGGUCGUUGAAGACUACGACGUUGAUAGGCUGCAGGUGUAAAGACAGUAAUGUCAAAGCCGAGCAGUACUAAUUACCCGUAAGCUUUCUAA
rnacentral:rRNA from 1 species